rnacentral:rRNA from 1 species
UACGGAGGGGACUAGCGUUGUUCGGAAUUACUGGGCGUAAAGCGCACGUAGGCGGAUUUGUUAGUCAGGGGUGAAAUCCCGAGGCUCAACCUCGGAACUGCCUUUGAUACUGCAAAUCUCGAGUCCGGAAGAGGUGAGUGGAAUUCCUAGUGUAGAGGUGAAAUUCGUAGAUAUUAGGAAGAACACCAGUGCGAAGGCGGCUCACUGGUCCGGUACUGACGCUGAGGUGCGAAAGCGUGGGGAGCAAACAGG